rnacentral:lncRNA from 1 species
AUCUAUUUUAUAUUUUAUACUCUUAUAAGGAAUUUUGAAAUACAUCGGAGAUGCUAUGUCAACUAUAAAACAAGUAAAUGAUGUUAUGAUAUGUAUUCAUUUAUUUUGAAAAACUAACAUGUAAGUGAUAGUUAUAUUAAAUUCAAUUACACAUGUCACACUUACACAUAUAAUAGUUGGUUGUAUUGCCUCAGAUAUACAAUAGACUUUCUCCACUCUUAAUUACACAAAUUGACACAAUUAUUAUAUAACAAAGUCAAUUAACAAGCAUUGUUUAAUUGAAAGGCCUACUACUAAAUCAAUUAACAAAAGAGUUAACACACAAUCGCGUGCAUUCUCCUCCUGACCGGUUUCAUUUUCAUAGAGAUUUCUGGUGGUCCAUCAGAUAUCAAAGACAACAACCAUUUAAUUAUUGUACGUCAAUUUGAAAUUUUUAUAAUGAAUAUUGUCAUUUCAACUCAUAUACCUGUAUAUGUAUAACGAGUGGUUAUCUU